GCAAUGCCCGAAAGGGUGACAAUGCGACGCCGCGUGAGCGAUGAAGGCCUUCGGGUUGUAAAGCUCUGUCAGCUCGGAUGAAAGCAGGGAAGCCAAUACCUUUCUGUCCGACGGUACGAGCAGAGGAAGCUGCGGCUAACUCCGUGCCAGCAGCCGCGGUAAUACGGAGGUGGCAAGCGUUGUUCGGAUUUACUGGGUGUAAAGGUCAUGUAAGCGUCUUACUAAGUCGGAUGUGAAAUCCCCUGGCUCAACCAGGGAACUGCAUUCGAUACUGGUUAGAUUGAGUACGGGAGAGGAAAGCGGAAUUCCGGAAGUAAGGGUGAAAUCUGUAGAUAUCCGGAAGAACACCAUUAGCGAAGGCGGCUUUCUGGCCCGAUACUGACGCUGAAAUGAGAAAGCUAGGGUAGCGAACAGGAUUAGAUACCCCCGUAGU
rnacentral:rRNA from 1 species